rnacentral:tRNA from 1 species
UUUCUGUAGUGUAGUGGUUAUCACAUUCGCUUCACAUGCGAAAGGUCCCUGGUUCAAAAUGAGGCAGAAA